rnacentral:rRNA from 1 species
GUACCUACGGGACGCAGCAGUGAGGAAUAUUGGUCAAUGGACGGAAGCCUGAACCAGCCAAGUCGCGUGAGGGAGUAAGGCCCUACGGGUCGUAAACCUCUUUUGCCGGGGAGCAAGGGCCGGGACGCGUCCCGGCCCGGAGAGUACCCGGAGAAAAAGCAUCGGCUAACUCCGUGCCAGCAGCCGCGGUAAUACGGAGGAUGCGAGCGUUAUCCGGAUUUAUUGGGUGUAAAGGGCGUGUAGGCGGGACUGCAAGUCAGAUGUGAAACCCAUGGGCUCAACCCAUGGCCUGCAUUU